CAAUAGCGUAUAUUAAAGCUGUUGCGGUUAAAAAGCUCGUAGUUGGAUUUCUGUCAAGGACAACUGGUCCGCCCCUCGGGUGAGCACAUAGUUUGGUCUUGGCAUCUUGUUGGAAACUGUUGCUGCACUUGGUUGUGUGGCGCAGUGUCCAGCACUUUCACUUUGAGGAAAUUGGAGUGUUUCAAGCAGGCACAUGCCUUUGGACACAGUAGCAUGGAAUAAUUAGAUUGGGCUUUUGCUCCAACUUGUCGGUUUCUGGAGCUGAGGUGAGAAUUAAUGGGGAUUGUUGGGGGCAUCCGAAUUUAGCCGUCAGAGGUGAAAUUCUUGGAUCUGCUAAAGACGGACAACUGCGAAGGCGUUUGCCCAGGAUGUUUUCAUUGA
rnacentral:rRNA from 1 species